UCUCCCGUGAGGGAGCAGUCUCGCCUGACUUUUAAAACAGACAACGAGGGUUGCGUUCGUUACCCCACUGAAGGGAACAACUCAAGCCACGAACUGACGACGACCAUGCAUCACCUGCCCAACUGUCUUGCGAAAGCCAAAGUUUCCUAAGGCGGUCAGUUGAGUUUCAAACCCUGGUGAGGUUCUUCGUUUGCUAUCGAAUUGAGCCACAUAAUCCACCGCUUGUGCAAGUCCCCGUCUAUUCCUUUGAGUUUUAGCCUUGCGGCCGUACUACCCAGGCGCAUCACUUAACGCGUUAGCUUCGCCUCACAGAGGGUCGAUACUCCGUAAAGCCAGUGAUGAUCGUUUAGGGCGUGGACUA
rnacentral:misc_RNA from 1 species